rnacentral:rRNA from 1 species
GCCUACGGGAGGCAGCAGUGGGGAAUAUUGCACAAUGGGCGAAAGCCUGAUGCAGCAACGCCGCGUGAAGGAAGAAGGCCUUCGGGUCGUAAACUUCUGUCCUUGGGGAAGAAGAACUGACGGUACCCAAGGAGGAAGCCCCGGCUAACUACGUGCCAGCAGCCGCGGUAAUACGUAGGGGGCGAGCGUUAUCCGGAUUCACUGGGUGUAAAGGGAGCGUAGACGGCCAUGCAAGCCAGGGGUGAAAGCCCGGGGCCCAACCCCGGGACUGCCCUUGGAACUGCAUGGCUGGAGUGCGGGAGGGGCAGGCGGAAUUCCUGGUGUAGCGGUGAAAUGCGUAGAUAUCAGGAGGAACACCGGCGGCGAAGGCGGCCUGCUGGACUGCGACUGACGUUGAGGCUCGAAAGCGUGGGGAGCGAACAGGAUUAGAUACCCCAGUAGUC